UCGGAGCGGUGCUCCGAGCCGGGCGGUGGGGAGGGAAGACCUCCCCGCCGCCCGGCUCGGAACGGUGCUCCGAGC
rnacentral:miRNA from 1 species